rnacentral:rRNA from 1 species
UACGGAGGGGGCUAGCGUUGUUCGGAAUUACUGGGCGUAAAGCGCACGUAGGCGGACCUGCAAGUCGGGGGUGAAAGCCCGAGGCUCAACCUCGGAACUGCCUUCGAUACUGCGGGUCUCGAGUCCGGGAGAGGUGAGUGGAAUUCCUAGUGUAGAGGUGAAAUUCGUAGAUAUUAGGAAGAACACCAGUGGCGAAGGCGGCUCACUGGCCCGGUACUGACGCUGAGGCGCGAAAGCGUGGGGAGCAAACAGG